rnacentral:lncRNA from 1 species
GUACUAUUGCAUUAAACCGUUAUAUAUAUAUAUAUAUAUAUAUAUAUAUAUAUAUAUAUAUAUAUAUAUAUAUAACAAAAUACGCACUAAAAUGAACAAAAUAACAAAUAACAAUAUUCCGAUUCCAAUAUAAUAUAAGAAAAGAAUAAACGUACGUAGGAAAAGACAUAUAAGAUCCUUCUUAUUUCCCCCUAUGAGCUACAAUAAAUAACACAAAAUACCUUAAAAAUUCCCUCAUAUUCUGUAUAUAUAUACAAACACCAAACUCACAAUAAACAUCACUCGGUAAAGCUGUAUAUAGAAACGGAUGACUCAGUGCUUGAAGAUGGCAAGCAUGGUGAUCACAACCGCAGCCCCGAUCAUGGAGGCGGAGCUUGAAACUGUUCCGGCUGCUCCGCCAUCGGGAGCCGGUGUUGGGGAGCCCUGAGCAGAGACGGUGGCGGAGAAGAGGGCGAUGAAGAGGAUGACGGCCAAGGACAUGAACAUGCUUUUUGUUGAUUCCAUGGGAAAGUGAAUAAAGAGAGAACGAUGAAGAAUGAUGGUGGGAGAGGGUAUUUAUAAGUGGAAAACGUGAGGGAUCAUAGAUUAUUAAUUAUAUCUAUUACUAAGAAAAUAGUAAUUGCAUUUUACAUUUAGUG